rnacentral:rRNA from 1 species
GACGAACCGUCCGAACGUUAUUCGGUAUUACUGGGCUUAAAGAGUUCGUAGGCGGCCAGAUAGGUCAGAUGUGAAAUCCCUCGGCUCAACCGAGGAAUUGCGUUUGAAACCGUCAGGCUUGAGGAAGAUAGAGGUGAGCGGAACAGAUGGUGGAGCGGUGAAAUGCGUUGAUAUCAUCUGGAACACCGGUGGCGAAAGCGGCUCACUGGAUCUUUUCUGACGCUGAGGAACGAAAGCUAGGGUAGCGAACGGGAUUAGAUACCCCGGUAGUCCUAGCCGUAAACGAUGAGCACUAGUCUGUGGGGACCCUCACAUCCUCUCGGACGUAGCGAAAGUAUUAAGUGCUCCGCCUGGGGAGUAUGGUCGCAAGGCUGAA